GAUGAGCGCUGGCGGCGUGCCUAAUACAUGCAAGUCGAGCGAACGGACGCGAAGCUUGCUUUUCUGAUGUUAGCGGCGGACGUGUGUGUAACACGUGGAUAACCUACCUAUAAGACUGGGAUAACUUCGGGAAACCGGCGCUAAUCCCGUAUAAUAUUUUGAACCGCAUGGUUCAAAAGUGAAAGACGGUCUUGCUGUCACUUAUCGAUGGAUACGCGCUGCAUUAGAUAGUUGGUAAGGUAACGGCUUACCAAGGCAACGAUGCAUAGCCGACCUGUGAGGGGGAUAGGCGGCACUGGAGCUGAGACGCGGUCCAGACGACUAAGGGACGCAGCAGAAGCGAAUCUUCCGCAAUGGGCGGAAGUCUGACGGAGCAGCGCCGCGUCAGUGAUGGCGGCCUCCGGAGCGGAAAACUCUGCUAUGAGGGAAGAACAGCUGUGUAAGGAACUGUGGAGAUCUUGACGGUACCGAAUCAGAAAGCCACGGCUAACUACGUG
rnacentral:rRNA from 1 species